rnacentral:lncRNA from 1 species
CAAAGAACUGGACCACUCUAGUGGUUGCCACGGAGACAGUAUGGAGCAUCUCAGGCAGAGCCUGUUUAGACAUUGACGUCAUUGUGGGUAGGACUAGUUAGUUCCUUAGUGCCUGGAAGGGAUAGGGCACAGCAAUGCUAACCAUUACGCCUUUUUUUUUUUUUUUUGGAAGGUGGAACCUCGGGAAAAUAGAAACAGAGCGGCCAGCCGCAUUCUGGGAAUUGUAGUUUUAACUCUCCGGCGCAGGCGCACUCCACCCUCAGCCUGGGCAGCACGGAGGGAGCUCAGGGGCUGGUCCGUUCGCUUCCAGAAUCAGUCUCCAGCCCUAGGUAUGGUCUGCAGGAACCCAUCCUGGAGCAUUAAAGUAAGGAUCUUCUACUUGGAAACAGAGAUCUGAGUUCCAGAGUGAAGUUUCCAGCUAACCUCUACAUUUGCAGGAUUCUGCCCUUUCCCUUGAGGGAGACACAGAGGAGAAGGGCUGUGGGAUCCUGAUGACCAGGUCUCAGGUGAGUUGGAAUUUCUUCUGUCUCUCCUGAAAAACCAUCUUGGGUCUCACUGAGUAGAAACAUUUCCUUCCUUUAUCUAGGAGCUUCCCUACCCAACAAAGUCCCAUCCUGGGUCCAGGAUCCUAACUCUUCUCCCUCAGGAAACUUAAACCUAUUCUGAUGUAUAAGGACUUGCUGAGAAUGUUGCCCAGCUUUCCCCCUGCACUCCUAAUAUCCUCUCAUUCAUUCAUCCAACUUGUUAUUUAGGCUUCCUGUGUGCUUAGUACUCUGAAUUAGGGCUUAUCAACAAAGCGUAUAGUCCUUGUAAGAUCAAACAGUUCUGUCCAAAUAGAGAGCUACUUUCCUUGACAUAUCUGUGAUUUCACUGGUGUGUACCCUCCUUCCAUUAGUGCAGAUUCCAACCUUUCUCAUUCUAGGGACUCUUAAGCACCUCUUUUCGUAAAUAUCCAUAGAAAAUCUACCCAGUGUGCUGAAGGCCUUCCUCUGGUUAUUCUACCAUCUCAGAGAUACCAAUGUAGCACUUGGGGUCUGGUCUAGUGGAAGACCACUGGAUGUGGAGUCAGAAGACCUGGUUCACAUCCUGACUCUGUUGCCUACCACCUGUGGGACCUGGGUAACUUACUUUCCUUUCCUGAGCCUCAGUUUCCUCAGUUCCAGUGAGGGGUUGAACUAAAUGAUUCCUAAGGCCCCUUCCAGCUCCUAAUCUUAUCAUCUCUUGUCUCUCAUUUUCACUAUCUGACUAGUCCACCUCCUUUUCUGAUCAUCCAUGCCCUUGGUGAAGUCUUCCACAUCUCAUCUCAGACACCAGGUGUGGUUGGUAAUAGUCUGCAGCCUACCUAUGCCUAUCAUGUUCUGAAAUUACUUGAAAUUUUAAUCCUCUGAAAUCAUGGUGGUCC